UUCCGGUUGAUCCUGCCGGAGGUUACUGCUAUCGAGGUUCGACUAAGCCAUGCGAGUCGAAUGUAGCAAUACAUGGCGAACUGCUCAGUAACACGUGGACAACCUGCCCUUAGGACGGGGAUAAACCCGGGAAACUGGGUAUAAUACCCGAUAGGUCUCGAUUGCUGGAAUGCAUCGAGAUUUAAAGCUCCGGCGCCUAAGGAUGGGUCUGCGGCCUAUCAGGUAGUAGUGGGUGUAGCGUACCUACUAGCCUACGACGGGUACGGGUUGUGAGAGCAAGAGCCCGGAGAUGGAUUCUGAGACACGAAUCCAGGCCCUACGGGGUGCAGCAGGCGCGAAAACUUUACAAUGCUGGCAACAGCGAUAAGGGAACCUCGAGUGCCAGGUUACAAAUCUGGCUGUCGAGAUGCCUAAAAAGCAUUUCAUAGCAAGGGCCGGGCAAGACCGGUGCCAGCCGCCGCGGUAACACCGGCGGCUCGAGUGGUAACCGUUAUUAUUGGGUCUAAAGGGUCUGUAGCCGGCCGGAUAAGUCUCUUGAGAAAUCUGGCAGCUUAACUGUCAGGCUUUCAGGAGAUACUGUCUGGCUCGAGGCCGGGAGAGGUGAGAGGUACUUCAGGGGUAGGGGUGAAAUCUUGUAAUCCUUGAAGGACCACCAGUGGCGAAGGCGUCUCACCAGAACGGACCUGACGGCAAGGGACGAAAGCUAGGGGCACGAACCGGAUUAGAUACCCGGGUAGUCCUAGCCGUAAACGAUACUCGCUAGGUGUCGGCCACGGUGCGACCGUUGUCGGUGCCGUAGGGAAGCCGUGAAGCGAGCCACCUGGGAAGUACGGCCGCAAGGCUGAAACUUAAAGGAAUUGGCGGGGGAGCCCACAACGGG
rnacentral:rRNA from 1 species